UACGGGGGGGGCGAGCGUUGUUCGGAAUUACUGGGCGUAAAGGGCGCGUAGGCGGUUUGCUAAGUUAGAUGUGAAAACUCUGGGCUCAACCCAGAGCCUGCAUCUAAAACUGGCAGGCUAGAGUUCUGGAGGGGGUAGCGGAAUUCCUGGUGUAGCGGUGAAAUGCGUAGAUAUCAAGUGGAACACCAGUGGCGAAGGCGAGUCCCUGGACAACACCUGACACUGAGGCACGAAAGCUAGGGGAGCAAACAGG
rnacentral:rRNA from 1 species